GCUCAUUAUAUAAGUUAUCGUUUAUUUGAUAGUGCUUUACUACUUGGAUAACCGUGGUAAUUCUAGAGCUAAUACAUGCAAAUCAAUCCCGACUUCGGAAGGGAUGUAUUUAUUAGAUUAAAAACCAAUGCCCUCUGGGCUCUCUGGUGAUUCAUGAUAACUGCGCGAAUCGCAUGGCCUUGCGCCGGCGAUGGCUCAUUCAAAUUUCUUCCCUAUCAACUUUCGAUGUUUGGGUAGUGGCCAAACAUGGUUGCAACGGGUAACGGAGGGUUAGGGCUCGACCCCGGAGAAGGAGCCUGAGAAACGGCUACUACAUCCAAGGAAGGCAGCAGGCGCGCAAAUUACCCAAUCCCGACACGGGGAGGUAGUGACAAUAAAUACUGAUACAGGGCUCUUUUGGGUCUUGUAAUUGGAAUGAGUACAAUUUAAAUCCCUUAACGAGGAACAAUUAGAGGGCAAGUCUGGUGCCAGCAGCCGCGGUAAUUCCAGCUCUAAUAGCGUAUAUUAAAGUUGUUGUGGUUAAAAAGCUCGUAGUUGAACCUUGGGCCUGGCUGGCCGGUCCGCCUCACCGCGUGCACUGGUCCGGCCGGGCCUUUCCCUCUGUGGAACCCCAUGCCCUUCACUGGGUGUGGCGGGGAAGCAGGACUUUUACUUUGAAAAAAUUAGAGUGCUCUAAGCAGGCCAAUGCUCGAAUACAUUAGCAUGGAAUAAUGAAAUAGGACGCGCGGUUCUAUUUUGUUGGUUUCUAGGACCGCCGUAAUGAUUAAUAGGGACAGUCGGGGGCAUCAGUAUUCAAAUGUCAGAGGUGAAAUUCUUGGAUCAUUUGAAGACUAACUACUGCGAAAGCAUUUGCCAAGGAUGUUUUCAUUAAUCAGGAACGAAAGUUAGGGGAUCGAAGACGAUCAGAUACCGUCGUAGUCUUAACCAUAAACUAU
rnacentral:rRNA from 1 species